GGAUCGCAGUCUGCAACUCGACUGCGUGAAGGUGGAGUCGCUAGUAAUCGCGGAUCAGCAACGCCGCGGUGAAUGCGUUCCCGGGCCUUGUACACACCGCCCGUCAAGUCAUGAAAGUGGGCAGCACCCGAAGACGGUGGCCUAACCCUUGUGGGGGGAGCCGUCUAAGGUGAGGCUCGUGAUUGGGACUAAGUCGUAACAAGGUACC
rnacentral:rRNA from 1 species